GGAAGAUUGGCAGAGUGGCUUAUUGCACCUGUUUGCUAAACAGGCAAUCCGAAAGGAUUCAGAGGUUCAAAUCCUUUAUCUUCCG
rnacentral:tRNA from 1 species